rnacentral:lncRNA from 1 species
AUAUACUUCAUGUGGUCACUGAAACAACUAUAAUAAAUAAAUAUCUUCAAACUUUUAAGAAUGAAGGGGAAAUCAUCAUAAUGACCAAAAGAAAAAUGGAAAAAAAUACACAUAGAUCAAUUGUUACAUAUGUGUUCAGAUAAAUGUAUCGACCAUUAAUCUGGUUAUGAAUGUAUAGUCCCUACAUAUAAUCCUGCCUAUCUCUCAAAGGUCUCACUUCCACAUGCUAUUAGUACAAGUAGGGAUAAAGUUUCCAACACAAACUUUAAGGGACAAAUUUCAAACCGUAGCAAUACCUGAAGAUACAAGUAGAAAUUCUUGUAUCUUUCAAUAAUAAAAAGUGAUUGAAGAGUGUUUGAACUGCUAAUACCUUGAGUGUGUGCUAAUACCUCUGAUGAAUGUUUGAGCACCUCUCCUCACCAUCGUUGAACACAUGUGCCUAGAGAGUUCAGCUGGAUUUGUGAGGUCUGGAGUAUUUGUAGCCAGGUGUUCAUGACUAAUCCCAGCAACUCAGGAGGCUGAAGCAGGGACAUCUCAAAUUCAAGGCCAGCCUCAAAAACCUAGUGAGGCCCUAAGCAACUUAGUGAGAUUCUGUCUCAAAAUAAAAAAAAUAAAAAGGGCUUGGGGUAUAGUUCAGUGGUAAAGUGUUGCCAGGUGCAAGUCCCAGUAUCCAAAACAAAGUAAAACAAAAAAAGAAAGUAUAGAUUAGCCACAUGAAACAUGCACUUGAAAUGUGGAUAGUGCAAUAGAGGAACUGAAUUUCAAUUGCAUGCAAUUUUAGUUAAUUAAAAAAUUGAUACUGAAGUCAUUUAUCAGAAACUUUAUGUUUGAGGAACUUGGGUAUUUGAAUCUACUUUUUCAACUCAAAAAUUU